GGGGGGCUGGUGUGGGCUGGGGACGAGAGGGGAUGGUUCCGACUAGUAGCUCGUCAAGCAUUCGUGGUCGGUAACCAGUAGCUCCGAAAGAGAGGAGGGGUAAGACUUACGGAGUCUUUAACGAGAUUUAAGGAUUUCAAAUUUGAAAAUUUUGCGAAAUCUCAUGCAGGGAUGCAUGCAAAUCGCGCUAAUUUUGCUGGCAUUUCUUCAAGGUCAAAAUGACGUCAGUGAUCAUGACAUUCAAAUGGCCCUAAAUGACGAGAAUGGCUUGAAUUCAAAUUUGAGCCAUGAUUCAAUUGAAGGUGAUGAACCCAUUAUUGAUGAUGAAGCAAUAGCUAUUGCGUUACAGGAAAGGAAAAAAAGACAGCUUACUGAGAAAGGGUCUAUGCAGGGGUUGCAACUUGAUUCAGGUGAGUCACUUUCCCCUGUUAAUUUUUCAACAUCUGACAACUGUCCAACGGUGGUCCUGGUAUCCAGGCUUGCUGAGAGCCAUGAUUUGCUUAAGAUGGAACUGUAGGGAUCUUAACAACCCCUAUGCAAUUCGUGCUCUGAGAGAGCUUAUUAAAUCUAAAAGGCUGGAUAUUAUUUUUCCUUGUGAAACUGUUGUCCAUGCUAAUAAGUUAAGGAAAUAAAAGUUUGCAUUGGGUAUGAUGGGUGUUUUUGCGUUCACCAUAAUGACCGUAGCAGUGGUCUUACAGUUUUAUGGAAAUUAAAUUCUCUAAUCUCAAUUUCUAGUUAUUCUAAUAAUUUUGUUGAUAUGGUUGUUCUAGUGCUAAUAAUGUUGAUUGGCAUCUUGCGG
rnacentral:misc_RNA from 1 species